rnacentral:rRNA from 1 species
AAAACACUGAUGAACGCUAGCGAUAGGCCUAACACAUGCAAGUCGAGGGGCAUCACAUGAGGUAGCAAUACUUCUGGUGGCGACCGGCGCACGGGUGAGUAACACGUAUGCAACCUGCCUUCAACAAGGGCAUAACCCGUUGAAAGACGGACUAAUUCCCUAUGACACAGGGGUCCCGCAUGGGGAUAUUUGUUAAAGAUAUUAUCGGUUGAAGAUGGGCAUGCGUUCCAUUAGCUUGUUGGCGGGGUAACGGCCCACCAAGGCAACGAUGGAUAGGGGAACUGAGAGGUUUAUCCCCCACACUGGUACUGAGACACGGACCAG